rnacentral:rRNA from 1 species
AAUGAACGCUGGCGGCAUGCCUAACACAUGCAAGUCGAACGAAGGCUUCGGCCUUAGUGGCGCACGGGUGCGUAACGCGUGGGAAUCUGCCCCUUGGUUCGGAAUAACAGUUAGAAAUGACUGCUAAUACCGGAUGAUGACGUAAGUCCAAAGAUUUAUCGCCGAGGGAUGAGCCCGCGUAGGAUUAGCUCGUUGGUGUGGUAAGAGCGCACCAAGGCGACGAUCCUUAGCUGGUCUGAGAGGAUGAUCAGCCACACUGGGACUGAGACACGGCCCAGACUCCUACGGGAGGCAGCAGUGGGGAAUAUUGGAAAAUGGGCGAAAGCCUGAUCCAGCAAUGACGCGUGAGUGAUGAAGGCCUUAGGGUUGUAAAGCUCUUUUACCCGGGAUGAUAAUGACAGUACCGGGAGAAUAAGCUCCGGCUAACUCCGUG